rnacentral:rRNA from 1 species
UGGGGAAUAUUGCACAAUGGGCAAAAGCCUGAUGCAGCGACGCCGCGUGAGGGAUGACGGCCUUCGGGUUGUAAACCUCUUUCAGCAGGGACGAAGCGCAAGUGACGGUACCUGCAGAAGAAGCACCGGCUAACUACGUGCCAGCAGCCGCGGUAAUACGUAGGGUGCAAGAGUUGUCCGGAAUUACUGGGCGUAAAGAGUUCGUAGGCGGUUUGUCGCGUCGUUUGUGAAAACCAGCAGCUCAACUGCUGGCUUGCAGGCGAUACGGGCAGACUUGAGUACUGCAGGGGAGACUGGAAUUCCUGGUGUAGCGGUGAAAUGCGCAGAUAUCAGGAGGAACACCGGUGGCGAAGGCGGGUCUCUGGGCAGUAACUGACGCUGAGGAACGAAAGCGUGGGUAGCGAACAGG